GAUGAACGCUGGCGGCGUGCCUAAUACAUGCAAGUCGAGCGAACGGACGAGAAGCUUGCUUCUCUGAUGUUAGCGGCGGACGGGUGAGUAACACGUGGAUAACCUACCUAUAAGACUGGGAUAACUUCGGGAAACCGGAGCUAAUACCGGAUAAUAUUUUGAACCGCAUGGUUCAAAAGUGAAAGACGGUCUUGCUGUCACUUAUAGAUGGAUCCGCGCUGCACUAGCUAGUUGGUAAGGUAACGUCUUACCAAGGCGACGAUGCAUAGCCGACCUGAGAGGGUGAUCGGCCACACUGGAACUGAGACACGCUCCAGACUCCUACGGGAGGCAGCAGUAGGGAAUCUUCCGCAAUGGGCGAAAGCCUGACGGAGCAACGCCGCGUGAGUGAUGAAGGUCUUCGGAUCGUAAAACUCUGUUAUUAGGGAAGAACAUAUGUGUAAGUAACUGUGCACAUCUUGACGGUACCUAAUCAGAAAGCCACGGCUAACUACGUG
rnacentral:rRNA from 1 species